rnacentral:rRNA from 1 species
UACAGAGGGUGCGAGCGUUGUCCGGAAUCACUGGGCGUAAAGGGCGCGUAGGUGGCCCGACAAGUCACUGGUGAAAGCUCGACGCUCAACGUCGAGUCGGCCAGUGAUACUGUUGGGCUGGAGCACUGUAGAGGCUCAUGGAAUUCCGGGUGUAGCGGUGGAAUGCGUAGAGAUCCGGAAGAACACCGGUGGCGAAGGCGGUGAGCUGGCAGUAGCUGACACUGAGGCGCGACAGCGUGGGAGCAAACAGG